GGUGUGGUUGUGAGAGGUGCGUCAAUCAGACGGCAUGAGCAGCACGUGGUCGGCUCCAGGCGACCAAACUCUGCUGCAAGAUAGUAGUGGUCCGUUGUCCGGGACAGAGCAGGGCAAAGUUGUCCGGGAAAGAGCAGGGCAGAGUAGAGUUGUCCGGGAGUAGAGUUGUCCGGGACCGAGCAGGGCAGAGUU